rnacentral:rRNA from 1 species
GAUGAACGCUCGCUACAGGCUUAACACAUGCAAGUCGGGGGGCAGCAUGACCUAGCAAUAGGUUGAUGGCGACCGGCGCACGGGUGAGUAACACGUAUCCAACCUGCCGAUUAUUCCGGGAUAGCCUUUCGAAAGAAAGAUUAAUACUGGAUAGCAUAACGAGAAGGCAUCUUCUUGUUAUUAAAGAAUUUCGAUAAUCGAUGGGGAUGCGUUCCAUUAGUUUGUUGGCGGGGUAACGGCCCACCAAGACAUCGAUGGAUAGGGGUUCUGAGAGGAAGGUCCCCCACAUUGGAACUGAGACACGGUCCAAACUCCUACGGGAGGCAGCAGUGAGGAAUAUUGGUCAAUGGACGAGAGUCUGAACCAGCCAAGUAGCGUGAAGGAUGACUGCCCUAUGGGUGGUAAACUUCUUUUAGAUGGGAAUAAAGUGGGCCACGUGUGGCUUUUUGUAUGUACCAUACGAAUAAGGAUCGGCUAACUCCGUG